UAUCAGAUCACUCCUGGUCGAGUUUUGCUGUCCGCCAUUAUUUCGCUCAGAAAUGGUUCGCGCUUCUUUGCUGAAAAUGUCACAAUUGUAGCCGUAUUGCUGAAUUUGGUUUCUCAGAAGAAUGAAGCUGAAACAGAGCUUGAGAGGUGUACAAUGGCAGUGUUUGUCAUCUGGGAGGAUGAGAAUCCUCUCCAACCACCACAUGAAAUUGGGAUUGUAAUUGAAGGUGUGGAAGUCCUUAAUGAGUUGCCGUCAGUCGCACAUGCAUGUGCCAUGUUGUUUGGCCUCAUCUAUGCUGUAAACUUGAGCUAUCCAGAAGCGCAUUUGUGAGGUCAGACACUGAUGUUGGACAAGAAGGCCUGGCCAAGCCCAACUCCUGAAAAACGCGUCUGCCAUGAAGAAUCUACCCUCACAAGCUGCAAGUGACAAAGAAAUUGACCAGAGACGUCCACAUCUGUUAAGGGACGAGUAUGUUUAGCACAGUAGGGUAGGCUUCAGAUUUCAUUUUCUUGCUGUUUCUCUGUCAUACACUCACCAGCCAUUUUUAAGGUAUUCCUAACUUAAAGAUUGCAGUCUGUCUGUUUCUUUGCAUACCUUUUAGCCCCCUUUCACUCUGUUCCUCAGUGUUCAGAACCCCCCCACAGGACAACCAAAGAGCACGUAUUAUUUGGGUAGUAUAUUGGACACAGCAGUGCUGCUGGAGUUUUUAAACUCUGUGGCGACUCACUGUCCACUCUAUUAGACACUCCUACCUUGUUGGUUGUUGUAUUUUUUUUUCUUCUCACUCCAGCAGUGACACUGAGGUGUUUAAAGCAUUGCUGUAUCUGAUGCAGUAGUACCAAUACCACACAUACUGUUAUGCCAGUGUUACUGCAGUACUGAGAAUGAAAUAAUAAUAAUACCCGCUCAGUGGUGGUCCAGGUAGGGGUCCUGAUCAUUGAUAAACGAAACUGAUCAACUACAAUCUGCAAUUGCAGAACUACAAAGCGCAUUUAUACAUUAAAUUGACCUGAUUAAAUUAGAAAUGAGCAUAGAUACAAGGUAGCCGUACAUAAUUAAGUGGCCAGUGAGUGUGUACACCAAAACCAAUUUAGUUUGUAAUUUUUUGGUAAACACCUUUGUAACUGUUUCUUUACUUAUGUAAUUGUUAUUUCACUCAUUUUGUCUGAAUUGUAAGUUCUGUAUAAGUUGUUUUGAUUAAAGUAGUUGCUUCAAAA